UUGCCUUCCAGAAUCUUCUGUGAAUGUUCCACACGGCCAGGGGGAAAUGAACAUGGGUUAAGGGGAGGGAAGUACUUGCUGCCCUCCGGUAAUCUGAACUAAGAUGAUUUCAGAGGACUGGUUUGGGGUGCCGAUUAAAAAACACACGCAGGCACACACGCGCACAAACACACCACACACAAACCCUGCUAACCUUUCCGAGUGUUGUGUUGUGUUCCUUCCCACUUUCCUGGGCGAGCCCGUGAGACGGGACCAUUAGUCGGGGGAGAAGCCAUUGCCCAGCUGUGGCUGUUUCACCGGUCAGGAUUAACAGAGGAUGCCUCCCUUUCACCCUUGUCCCCCCUAGUCACCGCAUAGGAGGCUUAAUACAGAUAAAACAUCAGACCAAAGAGAACUGGGAGGUUUGAGGAAUAUGUUGAGAUCAAACUCCCUUUCCAAAAUUAAACACUUCUCUGAGUUUAUCAUGAACCUGUUGGCAAUUAGAAAAGUUUUUUUUGAGGGGGCAGAUUAGGUCCUGGUGAGAUAUGGCAACUUUUGGGGCUCCUCCAUCUCCAAGGUCUGAGAUGCCAGGGUAUAACUGUACGGUGGCCUCGGAGAGGGGGACACCCAAGGACACAAGCCAAAGUGCCUGUUUCUAGUCUACCCACCAGCCUCCAUGGAGGGCCGGGGACAGCGCAUCGAAUGCUGCCGGGCUGAGACCAUCCUGCUUGUUGGUGUUUGGCCAGAGCUUAAGAUCAGUCACAAGAACAGGCAGAGAAUGGCACAGUCCUACAAAACCACAGGAUAGGGUUUUAGAAAGUACAGGUCCUGCCCAAAUGGGGGAAAAGGGAAAACAGAACGCCACUGCUAGUUACCUCAAUAGCUGCGUCUACUUUUCCUUAGGAAAACUCGGUAUCAAUCUCAUCAGGAGGAGGAGGAAAAAACCGGGUAAGGUUUGGAGCACAGACAGAGCUGGUUGGUGUAGGGAAAUUGACUUUGGCUUACUCUCCCAGCCAUAUUUGUGAGGAGGGGGAGGGGAGGAGAAGAGGGAGCAGGGAGGGAAGACAUUGGGUUCCCUUGAAAUACAG
rnacentral:lncRNA from 1 species